rnacentral:rRNA from 1 species
UACGUAGGGUGCAAGCGUUAAUCGGAAUUACUGGGCGUAAAGCGUGCGCAGGCGGUUUUGUAAGUCAGAUGUGAAAUCCCCGGGCUUAACCUGGGAACUGCAUCCGAUACUGGAUGGCUUGAAUCCGGGAGAGGGAUGCAGAAUUCCAGGUGUAGCGGUGAAAUGCGUAGAUAUCUGGAGGAAUACCGGUGGCGAAGGCGGCAUCCUGGACCGGCAUUGACGCUGAUGAGCGAAAAGCUAGGGGAGCAAACGGGG